rnacentral:rRNA from 1 species
AGGGGUGAUGCCUGCCCAGUGACACUGUUUAACGGCCGCGGUAUCCUGACCGUGCGAAGGUAGCAUAAUCACUCGUCUUUUAAAUAAAGACUAGAAUGAAUGGCUAAACGAGGCUCUACCUGUCUCUUACAAACUAUCAGUGAAAUUGAUAUCCUCGUGCAAAAGCGAGAAUAAUCCCAUAAGACGAGAAGACCCUGUGGAACUUUAAGUAUAAGUCAACUACUAAAUUACAAUACCAACUCUAAUGAAACACCACAUACAGUUACUUGACCUUACUUUCGGUUGGGGUGACCUUGGAGAACAAUAAAACCUCCAAAAAUAUAUACCAAGAUUAACAACCCAAAGUGCCCUAAAGCAAAACGAUCCAAUACUCUUGAUCAACGAACCAAGCUACCCCAGGGAUAACAGCGCAAUCCCCUCUUAGAGUCCAUAUCAACGAUGGGGGUUUACGACCUCGAUGUUGGAUCAGGACAUCCUAAUGGUGCAGCCGCUAAUAAGGGUUC